rnacentral:misc_RNA from 1 species
GACUACCACUGGCGUCCACACGCCUUGCUCGCAGCAGCAGUUCACGGUGGAGCAGUGGCUCGCCAUUGAUACGGCGCCGUAUGAGUUAACGACCAUCAGGAACCAUUGUCCGUCGGAUCUCGGUGAUCUUAAAGGUCUCGAUGGAGUCAAACUCAAAUCUGCUGUCAUGUGAGGCGUUCCGCUAUUGUAUUGUAUAAUAAUUAUCGGAGAUGAU